rnacentral:rRNA from 1 species
GAUGCACGCUUUCUUCUUUCCUAAUACAUGCAAGUCGAGCGAACAGACGAGGAGCUUGCUCCUCUGACGUUAGCGGCGGACGGGUGAGUAACACGUGGAUAACCUACCUAUAAGACUGGGAUAACUUCGGGAAACCGGAGCUAAUACCGGAUAAUAUAUUGAACCGCAUGGUUCAAUAGUGAAAGACGGUUUUGCUGUCACUUAUAGAUGGAUCCGCGCCGCAUUAGCUAGUUGGUAAGGUAACGGCUUACCAAGGCGACGAUGCGUAGCCGACCUGAGAGGGUGAUCGGCCACACUGGAACUGAGACACGGUCCAGACUCCUACGGGAGGCAGCAGUAGGGAAUCUUCCGCAAUGGGCGAAAGCCUGACGGAGCAACGCCGCGUGAGUGAUGAAGGUCUUCGGAUCGUAAAACUCUGUUAUUAGGGAAGAACAAAUGUGUAAGUAACUAUGCACGUCUUGACGGUACCUAAUCAGAAAGCCACGGCUAACUACGUG